AGAGCUGGAUACUUAACCGACCGAGCCACCCAGGCGUCCCUACAAGUUUGAGUCUUGUUAUCAUCCUGAAAUACAGUUCUUCUAUUUCAAAAAAUUCUUUAUUAGUUAUUAGAAUAACGGGCAUGGUACUGGACAGAGGCGUCAGUCAGUAAUAAUGUAUUUUUUUUAAGGUCUUGUUUUUAAAUAAUCUCCAUACCCGAUGUGGAGCUCGCAGGACCCCCAGAUCAGGAGUCACCUGCUCUACCACGCAGCCAGCCGGGCGCCCCGAUAUUGCAUUUCCCAAACAAGCAGAGACAGUAUGGCCACAUGAUGCCUGAUCUAAUUUAUAUGAAAUGUCCAGAAUCGGCAAAUCCAUCGGGACAGGAAGUAGCCUGAAAUUCCAAGGAACAUGAAACGUGCCAACAGGAAGACAGCAAAAGUGCUGACCUUCCCCCAGAUUCUUCUUCAAUCAGAAACUGACCAUCACACCCCUCGCAUGCUGUGGGCCCUGGUGUGAGGACAGGCAUACUGGUGAAGGAGACAGACAGAAUCAGGCCGGACAAUAUCCGGGUGUCAUGGAAAUAAAACAGGACGACGUGA